rnacentral:rRNA from 1 species
AGCCGGCGCCGGGUAUGCGGUCUGGUAGGUUGAGCGGCCUACUGGGGCUGGAGGUUUGCCCCACUCGGACGGGAGGCAUCACGGGGGAAUAUUGCAUAAUGGGCGAAAGCCUGAUGCAGCGACGCCGCGUGAGGGAUGACGGCCUUCGGGUUGUAAACCUCUUUCAGCAGGGAAGAAGCGAAAGUGACGGUACCUGCAGAAGAAGCGCCGGCUAACUACGUGCCAGCAGCCGCGGUAAUACGUAGGGCGCAAGCGUUGUCCAGAAUUAUUGGGCGUAAAGAGCUCGUAGGCGGCUUGUCACGUCGGUUGUGAAAGCCCGGGGCUUAACCCCGGGUCUGCAGUCGA